rnacentral:rRNA from 1 species
AGUGAACGCUGGCGGUAGGCCUAACACAUGCAAGUCGAACGGCAGCACAGGAGAGCUUGCUCUCUGGGUGGCGAGAGGCGGACGGGUGAGGAAUACAUCGGAAUCUACUCUGUCGUGGGGGAUAACGUAGGGAAACUUACGCUAAUACCGCAUACGACCUACGGGUGAAAGCAGGGGACCUUCGGGCCUUGCGCGAUUGAAUGAGCCGAUGUCGGAUUAGCUAGUUGGCGGGGUAAAGGCCCACCAAGGCGACGAUCCGUAGCUGGUCUGAGGGGAUGAUCAGCCACACUGGAACUGAGACACGGUCCAGACUCCUACGGGAGGCAGCAGUGGGGAAUAUUGGACAAUGGGCGCAAGCCUGAUCCAGCCAUACCGCGUGGGUGAAGAAGGCCUUCGGGUUGUAAAGCCCUUUUGUUGGGAAAGAAAUCCAGCUGGCUAAUACCCGGUUGGGAUGACGGUACCCAAAGAAUAAGCACCGGCUAACUUCGUGCCAGCAGCCGCCGUAA